ensembl:lncRNA
GAAGGCGGGCGGCCUCGAGCUCUCUGCCCCGUGGCGGGAAAGAACUCGCGUUCCAGGAACACGCAGCCUGGCGGGUCAGAGCCCGCAUGCCGGCCAGGGCCCUCCCUCCCUCGUGGCCCAGUGAGCGUCCACUCCCGCCUAGCCAGCCCCAGCUCCCCACGGGCGCUGCAGCGGUCCCAGGCCCAGCUCUGGGCUCAGUGUGAGGCCCUGGGGCCGCGGCAUCGAGGCCGGCAGAGGAAUGAAGGCCCCGGGUCCCGGCCCCUGGGCGAGGCCACCAAGCAUGCCACCCCACAUCCUCUCCCCGCGGGGCCCUGUCGGCUCUUCGGGCGGCGGGGCCGGGAGGCCGCGGGCAGCCAUCUUCCAGGCGAACUGGGGCCCGGCCAGCAGCAUUUCCCGGCGGCCUCCUCCCUCGCUCCGAGCGGCAUGACCUCAUCGGGAAGCCAUUCCGGAAAGGAGCUGCAGAGCCCCUGGGAGUGGGAGUGGAGAGGAGCUUUCCAAGGGCCCUCCUGGCAGCCUCCGGUGCCAGACCAGGGCGGGCGUCACGCCUCCGGGUGUCUGCCUGCUGGGCGACCGCUGGGAGGGCAGCUGGCUUUUGUCAGCUCUUCGGGGUGACCGGGCCAGGCGGGAGCAGGCAGGCAGCGGGGCACUGGCCCCGGGGCUGGCUGGCUACCUGGCGGGCGGAGGCAGGCUUUCAAGAGCCAGAAGCAAAGGGCUGGACGGGAGGGGAAGCCGGGCCCAAGCUGGUGGCAGAGGCCUUGGUUUCCCCUCAUCCAGCACGCCCCCCCCCCGAGUUCUCGCCCUCCCCCGCCCGUGGCCCCAAGGAGCAGUGGACCCACACCCGACUGCGCAUGUGCCCAAGCUUACCACACCUUCUUUCAGAUUCUGUCUGGAGAACUCCUACUCAUCCUGCAAAACUCCAGGCUGACCGCAUGAGGCUGCACAGCUGCUACUCCGGAGUCCUGAGUGACCAGGAAGGAAGGGUGUUCAACUCCUCCGAGACCUCCGGGCCCUGGGGAAGCCUGAACCACGUGGAGGGGCCACACAGAGCGGUGCUGGGAGAUGGUCCUGGCCCAGGGACCAGAUAUGGCAGAGCAGAGCAGAGAUGUCCCCACUGUGGCCUUUCAGGAUAACUGGCCCACAGCCUUCAUGAGGAGAAUAACCAUGAGCUUCAUGGUUGUGGCUCUACAUCCGGAGAAGGCAAUGGCCCCCCACCCCAGUGCUCUCGCCUGGAAAAUCCCAUGGACAGGGGGAGCCUGGUGGGCUGCAGUCCAUGUGGUCACGAAGAGUCGGACACAGCUGAGCGACUUCACUUUCACUUUCCACUUUCAUGCAUUGGAGAAGGCAAUGGCCCCCCACCCCAGUGCUCUUGCCUGGAGAACCCCAGGGAUGGGGGAGCCUGGUGGGCUGCCGGCUACGGUCGCACAGAGUUGGACACGGCUGAGCGACUCAGCGGCGGCAGCGGCAGCUCUGCAUCGCUGUUUUGGGGUGCCUUGUCAUGCAGCACUAGCCGACUGGAGCGGGGAGAAGCUCAGAACGUUCGGACCCUUCGAGCCAGCCACGCGGCCCCGUGAAGCACACCUCAGUGCUCAGGCGCUCAGUUACAUCCAACUCUUUGUGACCCCACAGACUGGGGCCUGCCGGGCUCCUGUCUCCAUGGGAUUCUCCAGGCAAGAACACUGGAGUGGGUUGCCAUUCCCUUCUCCAAGGGAUCUUCCUGACCCAGGGAUCAGACCCGAGUCUCCUGCAUUGCCGGUGGAUUCUUUACCACGGAGCCGCCUGGGAAGCAGGAUCGUCCUAACCUGGAACACUGUCCCAGGAGCUGAGUCUCCUCGGAUGCUCGUGGCAGCCCUCAGCCCAGCCUGACGUGUGCCCAGUUCUUCUAGGGCUUUGUUGAGUAAAUACACAAUGUCCAGCCUCAUUCAUGGUGCUGCUCCCGGGUCACUCCCCAAAUCUGGAACUUCCUCAGAAGUUCCCAAGGCCUUUGCAGCGUGGGUGGCCUUGGACCCGAAGCUCUGGGGCAUUAUCCAGGUUCCAGGCGGCAUGGUCACCCCCUGUGCCUCGGUUUCCCCACCAACGGGAUCUGGCACUGAAGUCCUGACCUCUGGGACCCCUCUGGGCUCCCAGUCUGCCUGGCUGGGGGCCGAACAUGUGUGUCUGCCCUGAAGCCUGCUUAUCCACAGGCCUCUGCCUGCCAUGGAAACAACACUCCUGACUGUACCGUCACCAUUGCCUGCCCAGCCCCUGCCCGUGGACAAGCCCAAAGGCGGACACCACUGAUGUUCACGGAACAAAAGAACGGGACAAGGACUGUUAAGUGAAAGGGCCCUUCCCAUGCUCAUUCAUUCAGUUAAUCAUUCUCCACGCCCACCAGGACUCCCUUAGAGCAGCUCCAGGAGUCUGCUCUUACACGUCUCCUGCGAUGGGGAGCUCACCACUUUUCGAGACAGCCUGUCUUAUAUUGGGGCUGUUCUGAUCAGGGAGCAAGCCUCUGAGCUGGCCCCCUGCCUGGGCCCCAGGGGCAAGCGGCUGGAGAGAAGGAGGGGCACGUGGCAGAGGAAAGAGCCCUCAGUACCCGAGAUCCUCGGAGCCCUGAGUGCCAGGAGCAGGUGAGGGGACCCCAGGGCUCCAGAGCCCCCGGGCCCCAUCUGCAGCGGCCCAGCUGAGGUCCCUGGGCGGGCGGGGCCGAGUCCUGGUCUGCCCGGAGCGCAGCUGGGCCCGGGCCAGCGCGCCAGGAGGCCCGCAGAGACCGAGGCAGCGGCUGGGCAGAGCGCGGAGCAGGGCGGGACAGGGGGUCUGUGUCGUUCCGUUCCCAUGGCUGCACGGCUCCUGCCCGCCUGGCUUGGCCUGGG